GACGAACGCUGGCGGCGUGCUUAACACAUGCAAGUCGAACGGAAAGGCCUCAGCUUGCUGGGGUACUCGAGUGGCGAACGGGUGAGUAACACGUGGGUGAUCUGCCUUGCACUCUGGGAUAAGCUUGGGAAACUGGGUCUAAUACCGGAUAUGAACUGCCUUUAGUGUGGUGGUUGGAAAGUUUUUUCGGUGCAAGAUGAGCUCGCGGCCUAUCAGCUUGUUGGUGGGGUAAUGGCCUACAAGGCGUCGACGGGUAGCCGGCCUGAGAGGGUGUACGGCCACAUUGGGACUGAGAUACGGCCCAGACUCCUACGGGAGGCAGCGGUGGGGAAUAUUGCACAAUGGGCGGAAGCCUGAUGCAGCGACGCCGCGUGGGGGAUGACGGCCUUCGGGUUGUAAACUCCUUUCGACAGGGACGAAGCUUUUUGUGACGGUACCUGUAUAAGAAGCACCGGCUAACUACGUG
rnacentral:rRNA from 1 species